GGCGAACGGGUGAGUAACACGUGGGCAACUGCCCCGGACACCGGGAUAACCCAGGGAAACCUGAGCUAAUACCGGAUACUCCGGCGUGAUCGCAUGGUCGCGCCGGGAAAGCUCCGACGGUCCGGGAUGGGCCCGCGGCUAUCAGCUUGUUGGUGGGGUAACGGCCCACCAAGGCGACGACGGGUAGCUGGUCUGAGAGGACGGCCAGCCACACUGGGACUGAGACACGGCCCAGACUCAAUACGGGAGGCAGCAGUGGGGGAUCUUGCGCUAAUGCGCGAAAGCGUGACGCAGCGACGCCGCGUGGGGGAUGAAGGCCCUCGGGUCGUAAACCCCUUUCGGCAGGGACGAAGGGAAACUGACGGUACCUGCAGAAGAAGUCCCGGCUAACUACGUGCCAGCCGCCGCGG
rnacentral:rRNA from 1 species